UGGAUGUGUGGGUCGAUGUCACGUGACCAAUAGAUUUAUAAUCCCUCCGUUCAUAAUGAAACAGAAAAGUCUUUGUUCUAGGAAAAAUGCUUAAUUAUUUUCCAUGUUUAGUAGGUUCACUAAAGGAAUGGCAGGAUGGGGCUAGUUGGACCAUGGGCUAUUUGGAAUUCUUUCUGAGUUUGUCAUGUUUCAUUAAGCACUGAAUAUUAUGGUUGAUGAUUGUAUUGAGACACUUACACAUGUAUGAAUGUGAUGGAGCAAGGCUUUCUUAGUUCAGAAGAGAGAAAAAGGAAAGUUUUAAGAUGUUUACAAAGAAGGUAUUUAGAUUUUAGACCAAUUACAAAAAGUCUGGAAAUCUGAAGUUGAAUCAUCACAAAAAAGGAAGCAAAAAAAUAAAGUCCUUGCUAAACAAAGAAUGAUGUAAAUGUGUGUUCUUACAGAAAUUGAUGACUUUGACUUAUCAGUUACGAGUUUGAAACAAGGAAUGGAGAAAGAUCAUCACUGCAUAUCAUUAGCCCCAUGCAUUCAGAAUGUAAUUUGUCAAAAAUCUUGAAGGUGCUUCAUCAGCAGAAUAAGGAAAUUAGGUACAUAUAAUAUUGACUUUUAAACUCCUUUGUUAUGGUUUUAAACAUUUUUGUUGAUUUUAUACUCAUAAUUGUUGGUUUGGAAGAAGAAUCGAGUGUGUGUUAAUUAUUAA